rnacentral:lncRNA from 1 species
AAGGGCUGGAGAAUCAGCAUCAGAAGACAGACCGCAGCCCGGUGACAGGAAAGACUUGCCAACCCCACGCCACUCACAGCGCCGUCCGGCUGAUCACUGCUGAGGGCUCCACAGCCUACUUCCCCAUGCGGGAGACCUGCAGCCUGUGGCCGCAAGUGACAUCCACCCUUCAUCUGGGGCCUCACGGAAGGGAUCUCAUUGAAGAUGGCUACAUUAGCUUGGGGCCGGGACCAGCACCUCCAGGAGUCCUGAAUCAUGCCCUGGCCUGGAGGGAUGGUGUCCAGAGACUAGAGAAAGACUCAGUGGAUGGGGAGCCGACCACAGCAGCGGCCAAGAGAACUGGAGGGUGCGGCACCAGCGUUCACGGCCCCAGGUCUACAGAUUCCGGAGUUUCACUCUCUCCUCGUCCCUCAGGGUCCCUGAGGCACCUCGGAGACACUGCCGGUCAGGCCUGGGCUCCGCUCUGCUUUCUGUGGGAGUUCACGAGGAGGAAGAGGGCGUCCCCCGGCACUGGAGCCAGCAUUAGCUGGGUCAUUUGCAACCCCUUCCCAGGAAGACCGAACAGGGAGACCCUCAGGUCACCCCAGCUUCUCCUCCUCUGCUGCGAAGAGGAUCAGGGAGCUGUAGCUUCCCAUCCCUUACCUCAUCGUUCUGUUUGGCGGAUGAGAAGUACUCGAUCCUCUGAAGGGCUUUUACCUCCCAGCCGCUGCGGAACGCUGCGCCUCUGUCAGCCUAGACCUAUUUAUUACCGAGGUUGGCUUCAUCGUUUGAAAUAGAAGUGUUCAUGAAACUUAAACCAUUAAAGUGGUGUUAACGGGCUCUGUGGAAAGAGGGCUCACCUCCUACUUCCUUUUGCUGGAGGCGGAAAGCCGCCUCAAGGAGAUUACCUUCCCAGAGAAGGAAAGCCUCCCCUGGACGGAGCCCGCGUCAAGCCAACUGUGUGGUGCCCGCCUGCAACCUCUGCACUGAGGAGGCUGAGCAGGAGGAUCGUGGGGAGUUCAAGGCCAGCCUGGGCUAAGCGAGACUGUCUCAAAAGAACCAAAGGAAAAAAAGUAGUCAGUUUGCCUGUGAAACUCAAUUCAAAUAAGCUGACAGAGACUGAAACGCUGAUGACAGUUUCGCAGGCAGCUGAAGACCCACAGAACUGCGGAGUUCAGAGUGUGGGGGACACGGAGGCUCCGCUGGGAACGCCUGCGCUCCCCAUGUCCGGCCAGGUGUCCGCCUCCGGCCGGGCGCCACACCUGCCACCUGCUCCGCUGCUCCCCUGGGCCUCCCGCCAGAUGCAGUCAGAGGGAGUGACGGCGGGAGAAGCAGAGGGCUGCUUUCGGCGCGGGCCCUGGCUGCACCUCGAGUGCGAGGAAAGGCAGAAUUUGCACACCACACGUGUCACUCAGGCGGCACGGACAGUGCGGUGUUGCCGAGUACAUUUGCAUCACUGCUCAUCUGCUUGGGGGAUUUUAGAGCCCUGCCGUUGCCCAGAAUGAAACCCCAAGUUGGUCAUGGCUGCCCCAGCCCUGUCCCCAGCCCGUGGUGAUCGCUCACCUCCUUCCUGUCUCUGUGGAGCUGAGAAAGGGGUUUUGUAGCCAGAUGCCUGCAUGCUGGUUUUAAAAUAUGGGUUUUUCUGCUGGGUGUAGUGGUGCACGCCUGUAAUCCAGCGCUCAGAAGGCUGAGGCAGGAGGAUCACUACGAGUUCAAGGCCAGUUUGUGCUACAUAGUAAGACACUGUCUCAAAAAAAAUUUUUUUAAGAACCAUCCCAGUAAGCCAGAUGUUUUUGGAGGCCUUGUUGCCCACACAGGAGUCCCAGGCCAGCAGAGCGGCCACUCACACCCCUCCCGAGGAGGUCUUCCAAGUGCAAGGCUCCACCUGGAACUUGUGCGCCUGCUGCGCUGGCUCUCUGCCUCUCUCCUGCCCUGGCAGGCUGGGCUUGUGAUUUCUGCUUUUCUUCCCGAGCUGCCAGGUGAGUCCAGGAAUCUGUUCCCACGUACCCGAGGGUGCCCCACACUGGGAAACUGGCUCCCCGUCCGCUCCCUGAACAGGUACGGGACCGUGCGCUGGCAGUGCCUUCCGAGAAGUUUGCUCAGCGAUAGUUAAUUACACAGGCACUUGGAAGAACAUCAAGUCAUUUUGGAGUGCUUUUAUCUACUGUCCAGAAGUAAAAGACAAUUAAAACGGUAUUUAGGUCUCAACCUGGAGGCAGUUUUGAAGCAUUCUGUACUCUGCACAAAUCCUCCUCCUCCCUGUCCUCCUCCCUUCCUUUUCUUUGCCGUGCUGGGCUUGGAACCCAUAGGCGCAUCUGGGCCAGGCAGGUGCUCUGUGACUGAGCUGCACCUCCAGCCCUGGCCUCUUGGCAUUUUCUACUUUUACGCUGUAAUAGUCCACCCAAUUUGAGACUCCCCGGCGGGUUUCAUUGCUAUGACCUGGUCUGGGAUACACUGAAGCACACGGUUGUGAGGCUGAGGUUGUUUCCAGUGUGUUACUGUCGACGAUGCCACGGCCCUGAGCUGAACAGCGUCCGGGUCAUCCACCGUCUCGUCAGCAGGAGCCUGGAAGAGCGGCCACUGGAGAAGCAGGCUGCACAGAACCUUGGCACACGCUCAGGGCGGGGACAGCUGGCCCUGGGGAGCCUGUCUCCAGGGCGCCCCAUGCACAGGAGGAGGUCCCUUCCUGCCUGCAGAUCUGAGCAGUGUGCUCAGAUCAGCUAUACAGGGUUGACUGUCCUGGCCCUCAAGGGCAGCGUGGUUGUUAGGGUGUGGAUAGCAAAUGUCCCCAAGGCCGUGUGGCAGGGCUUGGUCUUGGGCUUGUGGUGGCGGAGGUGGUGGAAAUUGUAGGAGGAGGAGCCUGGUGACAGGAAGUCAGGUCAUUGGGGGUGGUGGCCUUGGGGGACACGGAGCAGGGCAUGCUCUCUCUCUUGCUCUCUUCCUCUCUCGCUCUCUUGCUCUCUUUCACAUGCCUGCCUGCUGUCUCUCUUUUACCAUCCCUCUUACUCUUUUUUUUUUUUGGUAUGGGAAAUCGAACUCUGGACCUUGCAAUUGCCAGGAAGGCACUUAUGCACUGAGCUACAUCCCUGGUCCUUUUUUGUCUUUUUGAGACAGGGUCUCGAAAUGUAGUUCAGGCUGGCCUUGAGCUCACUUUGUAGCCCAGGCUGGUCUCGAUCUCGCAAUGAUCCUCCUGCCUCAGCCUCCUGAGUGCUGGGAUUACAGGCGUGCUCCACCAUGCUCAGCUCCAUCCCUCUUACUCACAUCCCACUGCCACGAGGUAGGGCACUUCCACUGCCAGGCAUUCCCCACCAUGUUAUUCUUCACCACAGGCUCACAGAGCACAGCACCAAGUCAUCACGGGCAGAAGCUAGGACAUCUUGAGCCAAGAUAAAACUUUCUCUCUCUUUUUUUUUUUUUUUGUCUUUUUGAGACAGGGUCUUGCUAUGGAGUUCAGACUGGCCUUGAGCUCACUUUGUAGGCCAGGCUGGUCUCAAAC